UAACCAAUCCCGCAAGGGGCUUUGGGGUCCGCAGGUCUCUGCGGCCCUUAAAAUCAGUGGCGGCGCCAGCGGUGCUCUCAGCGUAGUAAUACUCCUCGCUUGGGAAUCGCGGUUGAUGCUUGCUAGCAACCCAACUAUAUAUUA
rnacentral:misc_RNA from 1 species